CUAUCCCAAGGUUCAUUGCGAUCCCAAGGUUCACUGCGGUUUUCCACAAGCCUGUUUCUGCCUAUCACCAUGAGUGAUUCCUCAAUACUCAGAUUUAUCAUCAAGAUCUCAAUUAUAAGCUCAAGUUUUGAUGACAACUUGGUGAUCUGCAGAAAGCACCACCAUGUAAGGAAGGCCAAGACCACUCUGGAAUCAGUCAAGGCUCAUAGGAACUCCAAUCUUCCCAACUGUGAGAGGGCCUUGCUCCAGUGACUGUGAAAUGGAGUGAGGCAUACCAGGAUAUGCCUGGUUUUACUUUUGGGAAGGAGGUUGAACAGUGCAAUAUUUCUUCUAUAGGAUUGCAGUGACCAGACAUGCUACUGUAACUCUCAUGGUCAUGUGCUGGAAUUAGCAGAUAUUCAACAAUUUGGCCAUCUCGCUGACCUGUUGAUAUCAGAAGACCGCAACAGCUCUGCAAAGCAAGUUGCAAAACAGAAUCCAUGAAACUGGCAGUGACUGGAAACCAAUUGGAAGACUUUGGUCUGUGAUGUAGAGGAGUGGGCAGAGGUAGCAGAAGCAAAGACAACAAAAAGAAGAAGUGAUAUGGAUGUCUUUGUCAUAUGAUUCUUUAAAAGUUGACGUAUAAUCCUUGUUAUACAACUCUCUUUUUAUAAAUAUAUUUCAGACUCUGCUGACCCAGCAACAAAGAGAGGGUGUUCAACAUCAUCCUGCUAGUCAGGAUUCUUCAGGAGAAGCAGUGGAUUCUUGUGGCAGAGAUGGUCAACCACUAUAAAUACCUUUCAACUCAUCCUGGUUCUUUCAAAGAACUUUCUUGCUUGUUUGCUACUGAAAUGUACUGAUUCGACAUGUGGCCUUAACGAAGAAGGGUUAAAAGGUCUAUGGAUCAUCAUUCUCAAAAAGCAACAAAAUAACUGAGAAAUAAACAACAAUACGAUGGUGCAAUCUAGAGACCUGCAAGGUACCUGCAAGUUUUGGCUGGAGCAGAGAACAUAGAUUUU